rnacentral:rRNA from 1 species
AGAGUUUGAUCCUGGCUCAGAAACGAACGCUGGCGGCAUGCCUAACACAUGCAAGUCGAACGCUCCUUGGGCUUCGGUCCGGGGGGAGUGGCGCACGGGUGAGUAGCGCGUGGGAACCUGCCCUGUUGUGGGGGAUAACCGAGGGAAACUUCGGCUAAUACCGCAUAAGCCGGUUGUCUUGAGAGAGAUGGCCGGGAAAGAUUUAUCGCGACAGGAAGGGCCCGCGUCGGAUUAGGUAGUUGGCGGGGUAACGGCCCACCAAGCCGGUGAUCCGUAGCUGGUCUGAGAGGAUGAUCAGCCACACUGGGACUGAGACACGGCCCAGACUCCUACGGGAGGCAGCAGUGGGGAAUAUUGGACAAUGGGCGCAAGCCUGAUCCAGCAAUGCCGCGUGAGUGAUGAAGGCCUUAGGGUUGUAAAGCUCUUUCGCCCGCGACGAUGAUGACGGUAGCGGGAGAAGAAGCCCCGGCUAACUUCGUGCCAGCAGCCGCGGUAAUACGAAGGGGGCGAGCGUUGUUCGGAAUCACUGGGCGUAAAGGGCGCGUAGGCGGCCCUCCUUGUCGCGUGUGAAAGCCCCGGGCUCAACCUGGGAACGGCGCGCGAGACGGGGGGGCUGGAGUUCGGGAGAGGAGCGUGGAAUUCCCAGUGUAGAGGUGAAAUUCGUAGAUAUUGGGAAGAACACCGGUGGCGAAGGCGGCGCUCUGGACCGAGACUGACGCUGAGGCGCGAAAAGCGUGGGGAGCAAACAGGAUUAGAUACCCCCGUAGUCC